UGCGUAGGGCGCAAGCGUUUAUCCGGAAUUAUUGGGCGUAAAGCGCGUGUAGGCGGCUUUGCAAGUCGGGUGUGAAAUCCCUCAGCUCAACUGAGGAAGUGCGCCCGAAACUGCAGAGCUUGAGUACCGGAGAGGAUGGCGGAAUUCCCCAAGUAGAGGUGAAAUUCGUAGAUAUGGGGGAGGAACACCGGUGGCGAAGGCGGCCAUCUGGACGGAUACUGACGCUGAGACGCGAAAGCGUGGGGAGCAAACAGG
rnacentral:rRNA from 1 species